GCCACGAUGGUUUCCAGGACUUCACGUGAAGAGGAGGAUCUUCGUGCUACAGAAACCACGGGGAGGACACGGCCCCCCCCGCGCCUGCUACCACAGGACCCACCCUGAUGAUCCAGGCCCCCGACAACGGGUGGGAUUCGAACCAAACUCCUGCGACUUCCAGCCGCGGUUGAACCACCACACGCCACCGAGAACCCUUCACGCUUGGACCUUCUCUCUGAGCGCUUUUGUCAUCGUCACUUUGGAAUCUGGACUUUAAAAGUCACGACUGUCAUAGGAUUUGAACCCAUGACUUCAAAAAUUUCAACCACUCAUUCAACUCUCUGAGCUAUUUAACUGCAGGUUUCUAGUCUUUCACUGACAUUUUCCAUCUGUUUCUUUGGGUGUUGAUCUUCAAAAGUCACGACUGUCAUAAGAGUUGAACCCAUGACUUCACACUCACCAUAGACUCUUCUAACAGUCUGAGCUAUUUGUCCACAUGUUUUUGGUCUUUCUUUGAGCUUUUCAGCCUCUACUUUGAGUGUUGGACUCUAAAAUUCAAAGACUACGAUAAGAUUUGAACCCACGUCUUCAGAACCUCCAAUAAGUCCUCUACCAGCCUGAGCUAUCGGACCACACAUGUUCUCACUCUUCCUGGAGCUUUUCUGUUUGUUUCUGUGGUUGAUUAAAUCUAAAAGUUCUCAUGGGGGAUUGAACACAUGUCUCCAGAACAUUAACGAACUGACCUAACACCUUAGGCCACCAGAGAUAAGCUGCAAUGUUCAGAUUAUAUCAGGGUUUUUUAGUCUUUUCUCUGGCUGUUGGACAUUAAAAUAAAAAGUAAACUGUCCAAGGAUCAAACCAACAACCUCCCAGUCUUUAGAGGAAGACUCUAACCACUUGAGCCACUGAACCAGAGACAUCAACAUGUCUACUUUUACAUCUUUUCAGUCUUUCAUCUUGGUAUUAAUAUUUAAAAUGGACAGAACCAUCCAGGGCUUGAACCCAAACCUUCAGAACCUCUGAGGAAAGACUUAACAUCAUGAGCCACGACCCCAGCGAUGUUGAGAUGCUUUAAACUUUAAAAGCAUUUUAGUUUUUCCUCUGUCACUUAGAGAAUAAAAUGUAGAAAGCAGA